GAUACACCUAACCUUAGUGAUGAAGGCACACUUAAUUUAGUGAUGCUCUUUUAGUGGUAUUUUACCCUAUCAGAAUGUCAUCUUUCCCAUAGGAAAGACCAACUUCAUCUCAUGAAUCUUGGGAAUGUUUUAAAUUCCGUGAGGUUAUCGAUUCAGAUUCCACCACUCUAGGAACACAUACAUACUCUGUUAUAUGUGGGUAUUCUUAAAUAUUACCUAUAUAGGGACUUUUUUCUAAUGGAAUGGUUUCUUUAUCAAAAUGCUGACAUUGUUUUUUAUUUAAACAGGACUCUCCAGAGUCAGAUGCUGAACGGGAGAAGGAUAAAAAAGAAAAAGACCGGGAAAGCGAAAAAGACAGAACUAGACAAAGAUCAGAGUCAAAACACAAAUCACCUAAGAAAAAGACUGGAAAGGAUUCUGGUAAUUGGGAUACUUCUGGCAGUGAACUGAGUGAAGGGGAAUUGGAAAAGCGUAGAAGGACCCUUUUGGAGCAACUGGAUGAUGAUCAAUAAAUUAUACCAAAUAUGUUUACAGUAUGAUUUAAAGUCUAAUUCAGACCAGGGAUUCUAAGUUCAAUUGAAAUAACACUGGGUUUUAAUUAUAUCACAGAAAAAAAAAAGUGCAUUUAAGUAUUGUUAUUGUGGACUUUAUAAAAAGCAAAGGAAAUUGAAAAUAACUUGAUUCUGUAUCAAGAAUCAUAUUUUCAUACAGUCAUAACUGUCUUUCUGUGACCCUUUCAUAGGGCACUGCAGAAUGGAUUAAAGGUGGCAAUUUACUGAUAACUGCAGGUGUCUCUACUUUGUUCUAAAGUCUAAGUCAUGAGGUGAUUUGAUUUACUUUAUAGAAGUUGGAUUUUGAAGAUAAUAAUGAAAAUUUUUUGAUAUCUAGUAGUACAAAAAAAGCACCAGCAACUGAUAAAACUGCUUUUUUGUGCACUAUCCAACUGGUUGAAGCUGAUAUGAUCUUUUAAGGUGAACUGAGACAUAGGUGUUCUUAAUGGAAACCUGGUAGACCCUUAACUAUAGUGGUGCUAUUGAGCACUACUAUAAUAAAGCCACCAUUAUUUUUUAUGAAACAUCUAAAUACAUUUUAAAAAGGCUGUUGUGAGGGCAUUAUUUUGAGGUGAUGUUUAAAAAGUUAACAUCAAAUCAAAUUGUAAAUUAGCUUAAAUAUAUUGCCUUAAGGACCUACUAAAGAAUGUGCCACCAAACUUUAAGUGAUGGUUGCAAUAUCCUUGUCUAAAACAAAUCAAUGUUGACUUAAACGAUUUCUUUAACAGUUUUUUUUUUUUAAUCCGAUCUUUCUCUUGCUUUUUUUCAUUGAGGAAGUCUUUUACCUUCCCUCCUCACUGAGAAGUACUGACUUCGUGGUACACAUUCUAAAGCAUUUCUGAUUUGAAUAUUUUUGUACAUUUUUAUCAAUUAUUAAAUCUUCUCUUCUAGUG